rnacentral:rRNA from 1 species
AGAGUUUGAUCAUGGCUCAGGAUCAACGCUGGCGGCGUGCCUAACGCAUGCAAGUCGGACGGGCUAUCCCUUCGGGGGUGGUUAGUGGCGGACGGGUGCGGAGCGCGUGACCGACCUGCCCCGCGGCGGGGGAUAACGCCGGGAAACCGGCGCUAAGACCGCGUGCGCUCGCCGCCCGGUGGGGGUGGCGAGGAAAACCCCGCAAGGGGUGCCGUGGGAGGGGGUUGCGUCCGAUUAGCUAGUUGGCGGGGUGACGGCCCACCAAGGCGGCGAUCGGUAGCGGGUCUGAGAGGACGGCCCGCCACAGGGGGACUGAGAGACGGCCCCCACACCUACGGGUGGCAGCAGCGAGGGAUUUUCGGCAAUGGGCGCAAGCCUGACCGAGCAACGCCGCGCGCGGGAUGACGCCCUUCGGGGUGUAAACCGCUUUUCCCGGGGGCGAAGAUGACGGUACCCGGGGAAUCAGCCUCGGCUAACUACGUGCCAGCCGCCGCGGUAAUAC